rnacentral:rRNA from 1 species
CAGGUUUACCUGUGUGACUGCGUACCUUUUGUAUAAUGGGUCAGCGACUUAUAUUCUGUAGCAAGGUUAACCGAAUAGGGGAGCCGGAGGGAAACCGAGUCUUAAUUGGGCGUUAAGUUGCAGGGUAUAGACCCGAAACCCGGUGAUCUAGCCAUGGGCAGGUUGAAGGUUGGGUAACACUAACUGGAGGACCGAACCGACUAAUGUUGAAAAAUUAGCGGAUGACCUGUGGCUGGGGGUGAAAGGCCAAUCAAACCGGGAGAUAGCUGGUUCUCCCCGAAAGCUAUUUAGGUAGCGCCUCGUGAAUUCAUCUCCGGGGGUAGAGCACUGUUUCGGCUAGGGGGCCAUCCCGGCUUACCAACCCGAUGCAAACUGCGAAUACCGGAGAAUGUUAUCACGGGAGACACACGGCGGGUGCUAACGUCCGUCGUGAAGAGGGAAACAACCCAGACCGCCAGCUAAGGUCCCAAAGUCAUGGUUAAGUGGGAAACGAUGUGGGAAGGCCCAGACAGCCAGGAUGUUGGCUUAGAAGCAGCCAUCAUUUAAAGAAAGCGUAAUAGCUCACUGGUCGAGUCGGCCUGCGCGGAAGAUGUAACGGGGCUAAACCAUGCACCGAAGCUGCGGCAGCGAACGUAUCACUUAAAGCGAUUCAGCGGGUUACGAUUGACGGAGCGAAGCGACGUCAAAGCGUAUACAAAGUCGAGUCGGUUUAAGGAUACGUUCGUUGGGUAGGGGAGCGUUCUGUAAGCCUG